rnacentral:rRNA from 1 species
UACGUAGGUGACAAGCGUUGUCCGGAUUUACUGGGCGUAAAGAGCGCGCAGGCGGUCGUUCAAGUCGAGUGUGAAAGCCCCCGGCUCAACUGGGGAGGGUCACGCGAUACUGAUCGACUCGAAGGCAGGAGAGGGAAGUGGAAUUCCCGGUGUAGUGGUGAAAUGCGUAGAUAUCGGGAGGAACACCAGUGGCGAAGGCGGCUUUCUGGCCUGUUCUUGACGCUGAGGCGGCGAAAGCUAGGGGAGCGAACGGG